ACGGGAGGCAGCAGUGGGGAAUUUUGCGCAAUGGGGGCAACCCUGACGCAGCAACGCCGCGUGCGGGACGACGGCCUUCGGGUUGUAAACCGCUUUCAGCAGGGAAGAUUAUGACGGUACCUGCAGAAGAAGCUCCGGCUAAAUACGUGCCAGCAGCCGCGGUAAUACGUAUGGAGCGAGCGUUAUCCGGAUUCAUUGGGCGUAAAGCGCGCGUAGGCGGCGCCUCAAGCGGAACCUCUAAUCCGAGGGCUCAACCCACGGCCGGGUUCCGAACUGGGGCGCUCGAGUGCGGUAGGGGCAGGUGGAAUUCCCGGUGUAGCGGUGGAAUGCGCAGAUAUCGGGAAGAACACCGAUGGCGAAGGCAGCCUGCUGGGCCGCCACUGACGCUGAGGCGCGAAAGCUAGGGGAGCGAACAGGAUUAGAUACCCUGGUA
rnacentral:rRNA from 2 species